rnacentral:rRNA from 1 species
CUACGGAGGGGGCUAGCGUUGUUCGGAAUUACUGGGCGUAAAGCGCGCGUAGGCGGAUUGAUCAGUCAGGGGUGAAAUCCCGAGGCUUAACCUCGGAACUGCCUUUGAUACUGUCAGUCUUGAGUUCGAGAGAGGUGAGUGGAAUUCCUAGUGUAGAGGUGAAAUUCGUAGAUAUUAGGAAGAACACCAGUGGCGAAGGCGGCUCACUGGCUCGAUACUGACGCUGAGGUGCGAAAGCGUGGGGAGCAAACAGGAUUAGAAACCCUUGUAGUCC